CACGGGGGGAGCAAGCGUUGUUCGGAUUCAUUGGGCGUAAAGGGCUUGUAGGUGGCUUUGUAAGUCGGAGGUGAAAUCCCACGGCUCAACCGUGGACACGCCUUCGAAACUGUGAAGCUUGAGGCUGGGAGAGGAAAUCGGAAUUCCUGGUGUAGCGGUGAAAUGCGUAGAUAUCAGGAGGAACACCGGUGGCGAAGGCGGAUUUCUGGACCGACACUGACGCUGAGGCGCGAAAGCUAGGGGAGCAAACGGG
rnacentral:rRNA from 1 species